GACUUACUGCCUUGUUCGUGCGGAUAUGUUGUUAUGAAUCCGAACAUGUUAUAAUUGGGAUCUCGACUCUGGCGGCGGAUUGCAGACCUCCCGUACUGCGGAAGAUAGGGAGCGUGAAACCAUCAGGCGACCUUACCCACCCUGCUGAGUAGCGGGUUUUAUUAAGCAUAUCUACGGCAAGGCGGUUUGACU
rnacentral:other from 1 species